rnacentral:rRNA from 1 species
CAGCUCUCCGAGUGGUAGGGACGAUUAUUGGGCUUAAAGCGUCCGUAGCCGGCCCGGCAAGUCUUCCGUUAAAUCCAACGAUUCAAUCGUUGGACUGCGGGAGAUACUGUUGGGCUAGGAGGCGGGAGAGGCCGACGGUAUUCUCGGGGUAGGGGUAAAAUCCUAUAAUCCCGGGAAGACCACCAGUGGCGAAGGCGGUCGGCUAGAACGCGCUCGACGGUGAGGGACGAAAGCUGGGGGAGCGAACCGGAUUAGAUACCCGGGUAGUCCCAGCUGUAAACGAUGCGGGCUAGGUGUUGGAGCGGCUACGGGCCGCUUCAGUGCCGCAGGGAAACCAUUAAGCCCGCCGCCUGGGGAGUACGGCCGCAAGGCUGAAACUUAAAGGAAUUGGCGGGGGAGCACCACAAGGGGUGAAGCUUGCGGUUUAAUUGGAGUCAACGCCGGAAAACUUACCGGGGGCGACAGCAGGAUGAAGGCCAGAUUGAAGGUCUUGCUGGACGAGCUGAGAGGAGGUGCAUGGCCGUCGCCAGUUCGUGCCGUGAGGUGUCCUGUUAAGUCAGGCAACGAUCGAGACCCACGCCCCCUGUUGCCACCGAGGAGGUUUCUCCAAGGGGCACUCUGGGGGGACUGCCGUCGAUAAGGCGGAGGAAGGAGUGGGCCACGGCAGGUCAGUAUGCCCCGAAUCCCCCGGGCCACACGCGAGCUGCAAUGGCUGGGACAGUGGGUUCCGACCUCGAAAGGGGGAGGUAAUCCCUAAACCCAGCCGUAGUUGGGAUCGAGGGCUGAAACUCGCCCUCGUGAACAUGGAAUCCCUAGUAAUCGCGCGUCAUCAUCGCGCGGUGAAUACGUCCCCGCUCCUU